CCUACGGGUGGCAGCAGUGAGGAAUAUUGGUCAAUGGACGAGAGUCUGAACCAGCCAAGUAGCGUGAAGGAUGACUGCCCUAUGGGUUGUAAACUUCUUUUAUAUGGGGAUAAAACGUUCCACGUGUGGGAUUUUGUAUGUACCAUAUGAAUAAGGAUCGGCUAACUCCGUGCCAGCAGCCGCGGUAAUACGGAGGAUCCGAGCGUUAUCCGGAUUUAUUGGGUUUAAAGGGAGCGUAGGUGGAUUGUUAAGUCAGUUGUGAAAGUUUGCGGCUCAACCGUAAAAUUGCAGUUGAAACUGGCAGUCUUGAGUACAGUAGAGGUGGGCGGAAUUCGUGGUGUAGCGGUGAAAUGCUUAGAGAUCACGAAGAACUCCGAUUGCGAAGGCAGUUCACUGGACUGCAACUGACACUGAGGCUCGAAAGUGUGGGUAUCAAACAGGAUUAGAUACCCCGGUAGUC
rnacentral:rRNA from 1 species